GUUUUGCUAUUUGAAAAGGGAGUUUUGCUAUUUGAAAGGGGCGUUUUGCUAUUUGAAAAGGGAGUUUUGCUAUUUGAAAAGGGUGUUUUGCUAUUUGAAAAGGGUGUUUUGCUAUUUGAAAAGGGAGUUUUGCUAUUUAAAAAGGGUGUUUUGCUAUUUGAAAAGGGAGUUUUGCUAUUUGAAAAGGGUGUUUUGCUAUUUGAAGAGGGUGUUUUGCUAUUUGAAAAGGGUGUUUUGCUAUUUGAAAGGGGCGUUUUGCUAUUUGAAAAGGGUGUUUUGCUAUUUGAAAAGGGAGUUUUGCUAUUUGAAAAGGGUGUUUUGCUAUUUGAAAAGGGUGUUUUGCUGUUUGAAAAAGGUUUUGCUAUUUGAAAAGGGGUUUUGUUAUUUAAAAAGGGAGUUUUGCUAUUUCAAACAACCGACUCCAACG
rnacentral:lncRNA from 1 species